CAAGGGGUGGCAGAGUGGAAAUGCGCUGGACUCGAGAUCCAGUGGCCCUUGCGGGCCUCAUGGGUUCGAAUCCCAUCCCCGGCGCCA
rnacentral:tRNA from 1 species